rnacentral:rRNA from 1 species
GUGUCAGCAGCCGCGGUAAUACGGAGGGGGCAAGCGUUGUUCGGAAUUAUUGGGCGUAAAGGGCGCGUAGGCGGUGGAGUAAGUCAAACGUGAAAGCUCUCGGCUUAACCGAGGAGAGUCGUUUGAAACUGCUUCACUUGAGGGCGGGAGAGGAGAGUGGAAUUCCCAGUGUAGCGGUGAAAUGCGUAGAUAUUGGGGAGAACACCGGUGGCGAAGGCGGCUCUCUGGACCGCACCUGACGCUGAGGCGCGAAAGCUAGGGGAGCAAACGGGAUUAGAUACCCCGGUAGUCCUAGCCCUAAACGAUGGGCACUAGGUGUAGGGGGUGACGAACCUCCCUGUGCCGGAGCUAACGCAUUAAGUGCCCCGCCUGGGGAGUACGGUCGCAAGGCUGAAACUCAAAUGAAUUGACGGGG